rnacentral:lncRNA from 1 species
CUCCUUCUGAAAGUGGUGGGGCUUAGUACAAGAUACAUGAGUGGGGCCUAGAGAUCUGCUUAGGUAGUCUCUCCAAAAAUUGCAACAUUGAAAAUGAUACACAGAAAAAAGAAGGAAAAUCGCAAAAAACCAAAGUGGUGAUACCAUGGAUGAAUGGAAAAAGAGGAGGGAGGCUAGAGUAACCAGAAGGAAAACAAAUUAUAUAAUUUUCUGUGUUUCCUUCUCAGGACAAAAACCUUGCUCAUUCAGGAAAUUGGCAAGGAUUCUUUGAUUUGGAACUUCAAGGAAAGAUCAGGUAGGCAAACAUAUUGAGCAGACUAAAAAAGACAGCUACUCUGCAGAGAUAAAGAAUUAUUCCAACAGCCUCCACCCACCACCUGCCUCCAUGCCGGUUUUUGGUGCAUUCGCUGUUAGAAAUUCACCUUAAACAAUAUAAUCUGAAGGAACAUAGGUCUGUGUGUUGAAGAUGCCCUUGGAUGAUGAACCUCAUGGUUAGUUGAGUGAAGAAGCACCGAUAUUCCAAUGUCAAAACGUGCCAGUAAGUGAAGACAUGCCGGAAGGAGUAAGUGUUGGUGUCUGAAUGAAAAGAGUUGGCUACUGAGAUGGUACUUAUUUAUUUAUUUGACAUUGGAAGACUAGAAUGCUGCACCCCCAUCAUCCUUGGAGGUGCCAGCCGCCUUCUUAAAUCUCACACUGAUGUUACAAGGCUUGGGGUUUAUAUUUCACCCCAUUUCCCUUUUCCCAAGUUCAUUGGAAAUGGGCAAAAAGUGGCCAAUAUGCAAAAGGAUACCAAAGGAGCAAGGAGAAGAGAAAAGGAGCCAGAUCAAAUGCACCUCCAAUUUCAUGCUUGUAGAGAAGUUCAGCAGCCCCAGAUUCUUUAACCAGCUGGUUUUCACUGCAGGAUAAAGUGUUCCUCAGGAUUUAGGCCUUCACAAAAUGGCAUUAAUUAUUUCAGGCCACUCGGUCUUGUACUGCAUUAGUGUUUUGUUAAUUGGUAUCCUAGUGGCUUAAAAACAUCAUAUAAAUCCAGUGAAAUCUGUGUGCAGUCAGCACGCCUUGAAAAAAAAAAUUCAAUGUGGCAAGUAGCUCAAAGCCCCUGAGGAUCAAUAGGAGUUAUCUGGGCAGAGAUUUCAUUGUAUUUAUAUUAUACACCUUGCCUCCUUCAAGCUGUUGCCUGGUUUUCUUGAUCUGACAUGUGGGACUGAGGACAAAGCCAAGGUCAAAAACCAGGAGGUAAGCUGAAGGCUGGAGGCAUUUUGCAUGCCUGUGACUAGCAUGUCCAAACCUCAGGAAGAGUCUCAGACGGUUCUCAGUCACUGCCUCAAUCCCAAUACUAUUUAGCAAGAGAAAAGGCUAUUUUUAGCAAGGUUGUAUGGCAGCAAAUCUAGAAAGAAACACACUUUAUAUGACACAAUUUUUCCUUUAUCGUUUUAGACUGUAAUAUGUCUUUCCAUAAUCAGGUCAGAUCAAUUCGUAUUGGUUCUCAAUUUCCUCUCCAACCUCUUAUAAGAUUUGAUGGACA